rnacentral:sRNA from 1 species
GACCGCUCUUUGUAAAAAGAGCUAUGGCCAUACGGACAGCCUGGUCGAAAGCCGA